GCUGGAGUAGCUCAGUUGGUUGGAGAGUGUGGCUUUUAAAGUGCAAGGUCGAAGGUUCAAGUCCUUCGUCCAUUA